AACGCUGGCGGCGUGCCUAAUACAUGCAAGUCGAACGGUCUUUCUAUGGAAGCUUGCUUCCACUGAGAAGAUAGUGGCGAACGGGUGAGUAACACGUGGGUAACCUGCCCAUAAGAGGGGGAUAACAUCCGGAAACGGGUGCUAAUACCGCAUAGUUUUCUUGAUCGCAUGAUCGGGAAAGGAAAGACGGCCUUUGUGCUGUCGCUUAUGGAUGGACCCGCGGCGUAUUAGUUAGUUGGUGAGGUAACGGCUCACCAAGACGAUGAUACGUAGCCGACCUGAGAGGGUGAUCGGCCACAUUGGGACUGAGACACGGCCCAAACUCCUACGGGAGGCAGCAGUAGGGAAUCUUCCGCAAUGGACGAAAGUCUGACGGAGCAACGCCGCGUGAGUGAAGAAGGUUUUCGGAAUCGUAAAACUCUGUUGUCAGAGAAGAACAAGUUGGAGAGUAACUGCUCCAGCCUUGACGGUAUCUGACCAGAAAGCCACGGCUAACUACGUGCCAGCAGCUGC
rnacentral:rRNA from 1 species